AAUGAUAUUCAGCCUGCAUGGGCA
rnacentral:siRNA from 1 species